rnacentral:rRNA from 1 species
AUUGAACGCUGGCGGCAGGCCUAACACAUGCAAGUCGAACGGCAGCACAGAAGAGCUUGCUCUUUGGGUGGCGAGUGGCGGACGGGUGAGUAAUGUCUGGGAAACUGCCCGAUGGAGGGGGAUAACUACUGGAAACGGUAGCUAAUACCGCAUAACGUCGCGAGACCAAAGUGGGGGACCUUCGGGCCUCACACCAUCGGAUGUGCCCAGAUGGGAUUAGCUAGUAGGUGGGGUAAUGGCUCACCUAGGCGACGAGCCCUAGCUGGUCUGAGAGGAUGACCAGCCACACUGGAACUGAGACACGGUCCAGACUCCUACGGGAGGCAGCAGUGGGGAAUAUUGCACAAUGGGCGCAAGCCUGAUGCAGCCAUGCCGCGUGUAUGAAGAAGGCCUUCGGGUUGUAAAGUACUUUCAGCGGGGAGGAAGGCGGUGAGGUUAAUAACCUUGCCGAUUGACGUUACCCGCAGAAGAAGCACCGGCUAACUCCGUGCCAGCAGCCGCCGCGG